CUUUUUCCCCUUACCCGUUCCAAAGCGGUCCUAAUCUUCUUCCCUCCUUCGCCUAGGGUUUCUCUCGCUCUCAUGGGGAGGUACAGGAGCCCGAGUCGGAGCUAUAGCCCACGGCGAGCGAGCCGGAGCCCUCCCCGCCGGAAGCGAUACGACGACCCCCGCGACCGGUACCGCGGCGGCCGGGGCUACAGGGACCGCGGCCGCCCCUCUGCGCCCUCCGGCCUCCUCGUCCGAAACAUCGCCCUUGACGCAAGGCCGGAGGAUCUACGCAUUCCAUUUGAACGGUUUGGCCCUGUGAAGGAUGUAUACCUUCCAAAGAAUUAUUACACUGGGGAGCCACGGGGCUUUGGGUUUGUGAAGUUUCGUUAUGCUGAAGAUGCAGCAGCAGCCAAGCAGCAGAUGAAUCAUCAGAUUAUAGGCGGACGUGAGAUUUCAAUCGUUUUUGCUGAAGAAAAUAGAAAAACUCCACAAGAAAUGCGCACGAGUGCAAGGAUAAGUGAAAGAUACGUGGGAGGCAGCUACAGAAGGCGAUCUCCACCUAGAUCUCCCAGGCAUCGAUACCGUUCAUAUUCACGCUCCCCCUCUCCUCCCAGGCGUGACUCAAGAUUAUUAAAGUGAAAAGAGAUCCUAAAGAAUCAAUGGAUUAGUAAAGGCUAAAGAGAAAGUGACCCAAAAGUUAUUGGCUUGUUGAUUACUUUAUUUCAAAGCUAUUCAAGAAGUUUUCAUUAGUGUUCAUCGUCACCAAGAGUAACCACUGAAAUCAUAUGGUUUGUUGGAUAAAUUAUUAUCCACAUUAACUUUCUAUUCUCUUGCCACAAACAAAGAACUUUCUGUUUCAUUUUUGCAUUCUAAAUAUUGUUGCUUUGGUUUUGUAUACUAUCCAGUUAAGAAAGAAUGUAGAGCUUAAAAAGCCAAAAGAGAAAGUAUCAUGUCUCCAGAGAAUAAAGCGAAAAGAGAGUAUCAUGUUCUCCAGAGAAUGGGAGCCCGUCAAAAGCCCUCACUGCUAGAGAUAGAGCAUAUUCUUGAUGGGGUUCAUACUUUUGUUGAAAGUAACAAUUAUGUUGGCCUAUGAAAGUUGAGGCAAAGAGCUGCGAAGUCAGCAGAUGCUGUUCAACCAGCAACUACACCAUUUUAGAGCUUAAUUCAAACAUGUUUGGACCAAAGUUUCAUAAUUAUAUUCAGAAGUUUGAAAUAGUUCAGGGACCGGGACAGGAGCGCACGUGAUGACUAUAACUCUCCUCCAAGAUCAGCCUCCCCAUCCCCUAGGGAUGAUAGGGACUACAACAGACAUCAUCGUUCCCCGAGUCCUGAGGAUAAUUGCCGAAGCCCGUCUAGGUCUCGUUCCUACAGCCCUUGAUGAUGGAGUGCUGAGUUCUGUCAUAUGCUUCAGAAUCGAUAAAAAAGAUGUUCUAGUUGACAGGUUAUGAUAUAGAUAGCAGGGCAGUCCUUGAACCACUGUCAUGUGUUGAGGAUGGGGAAAUAUGGUUUUCUGUUUAUUGAAAUCAUCAACAUUCCCACUGUCUUGAAUUUUGGGAUCAGAAAUAGAUGUUUGUAAUGCUCUUUCGUUAUGUUGCUUGCCAGGUUAAUUUUGUGUUGACAUAAAACUCAGUUUCAUCUUUUUCAUGGUUCAUGGUACAUGAAUUUGUGGUUUCAUUCCGCAAAUUGAUGCAGAGUGUUCCUUUUUCUUUUU